GGGGGGGGGGGGGGGCGGGCUGGGCGCAUGCAAGUCGAACGGAAAGGCCCUGCGUUUGUGGGGUGCUCGAGUGGCGAACGGGUGAGUAACACGUGAGUAACCUGCCCUUGACUUUGGGAUAACUUCAGGAAACUGGGGCUAAUACCGGAUAGGGGCUCCUGCUGCAUGGUGGGGGUUGGAAAGUUUCGGCGGUUGGGGAUGGACUCGCGGCUUAUCAGCUUGUUGGUGGGGUAGUGGCUUACCAAGGCUUUGACGGGUAGCCGGCCUGAGAGGGUGACCGGCCACAUUGGGACUGAGAUACGGCCCAGACUCCUACGGGAGGCAGCAGUGGGGAAUAUUGCACAAUGGGCGGAAGCCUGAUGCAGCAACGCCGCGUGCGGGAUGACGGCCUUCGGGUUGUAAACCGCUUUCGCCUGUGACGAAGCGUGAGUGACGGUAAUGGGUAAAGAAGCACCGGCUAACUACGUG
rnacentral:rRNA from 1 species